UUUCCCUUUUCCCUUUUCCCGCCUCCUUCCCUCAUUUCCCCCCCCUUCAUCCCAUGGACAUGGCACGGCCACCUUAAAGCGCCGCGCCGCCCCCUCCUCCCCCGAUCGCCGGGGCCGCUAUGAGUCAGGUGUGAAGCCCCCGCCGGGAGGAGGUCGUUCCCCUCGCUGGCUGCAGCCCUGACGCUGGGAUUUUCCUUUUUUUGGCUUUUUUUUUUUUUUUUUUUUUCGGCCCCACCACCUCCCUCCUUCCCUCCCUCGCUCCCUCCCUCCAGGAAUCCAGCGCUGCACCGGAGCCAGAAGAGAGGGAGCAAAACCCUGCCCAGGCCGAGAGCCGCGUCCAGAAACCAAACCCGCCCUUCGCGUCGCAAAGGAGAAUUUUUUUUUUUAAUCAUUAUUAUUAUUUUUAUUUUUAAUUCCCCUGACCCGAGCACGGUGGCGGCAGCAGGGAGGCUGUCCCGGUUAUUUAUUCUCUCCCCGCAGAGCUGUCCCUCCGGCUCACCAUGAUGUUCCGAGACCAGGUUGGCGUGCUGGCCGGGUGGUUCAAGGGCUGGAACGAGUGCGAGCAGACUGUUGCGCUGCUCUCCCUGCUCAAACGCGUCAGCCGGACCCAGGCUCGCUUCCUCCAGCUCUGCCUCGAGCAUUCCCUGGCAGACUGCACCGAGCUCCACAUCCUCGAAGGGGAGGCCAACAACCCCGGAAUCAUUAACCAGUGGCAACAGGAAUCCAAGGACAAAGUGAUCUCCCUCCUGCUGACCCACCUGCCUUUGCUGAAGCCCGGCAACAUCGAGGCGAAAGUCGAGUACAUGAAACUCUUGCCCAAAAUCCUGGCGCACUCCAUCGAGCACAACCAGCACAUCGAGGAGAGCAGGCAGCUGCUCUCCUACGCCUUGAUCCACCCUGCCACCUCCCUGGAGGACAGGAGCGCCCUGGCCAUGUGGCUCAACCACCUGGAGGACCGCACGUCGUCUUCGUCGUCGUCGUCGUCGUCGUCGGGGGGCUUUGGCGGGCAGGGCCGGGGCCGCUCGGACUCGCUGGACUACGGGCAGGCUCACUACUAUCACCAAAGACAGAACUCGGACGACAAGCUCAACAACGGCUGGCAGAACUCCAGGGACUCCGGCAUCAGCGUCAGCGCCUCCAGCUGGCAGGACAAAAACCUGGCCUGUGAGAACGGCCACCUGCCCCUCUACUCCUCCUCCUCCGUCCCCACCACCAUCAACACCAUCGGCACUAGCACAAGCACCAUUCUCUCAGGCCAGACACACCACAGCCCUUUGAAACGCUCUGUGUCCCUUACCCCACCCAUGAAUGUGCCAAACCAACCUCUAGGACAUGGAUGGAUGUCUCAUGAGGACUUACGAGCUAGAGGACCCCAGUGCAUCCCUUCUGAUCAUGCCCCCCUGUCUCCACAAAGCAGUGUAGCCUCUUCGGGAAGUGGUGGGAGUGAACAUUUAGAAGAUCAGCCUUCUGCUCGUAACACAUUCCAGGAGGAAGGGAGUGGGAUGAAAGAUGUCCCAGCCUGGCUCAAGAGCCUCAGGCUGCACAAGUAUGCCGCCCUCUUCUCCCAGAUGACCUACGAGGAGAUGAUGGCCCUCACCGAGUGCCAGCUCGAGGCACAAAACGUUACCAAAGGCGCAAGACACAAAAUUGUCAUCAGUAUCCAAAAGCUAAAAGAGAGACAAAACCUGCUCAAAUCUCUAGAAGGGGACAUCCUGGAAGGCGGCAACUUGCGUGUGCCGCUGCAGGAGCUGCACCAAAUGAUCCUCACCCCCAUCAAAGCCUACUCCUCGCAGAGCUCCAGCACCGAGGAGCACGGCCGGGAGGUGGACUCGCACCACGGGCACCCCCCGUCGCUGCUGGGCUCGGACAGGGACGGCCAGGGCUCGGAGUGCAAGGACGCGGCGGCCGCCGGGAUGCAGCAGCACCAUCUGCCGGGCUGCGAGGCCGAGUCGGGAGGGGCCCCUCUGCCCGAGGGCGACCUGCCCGGCCAGUUCACACGAGUGAUGGGCAAAGUCUGCACACAACUUUUAGUUUCCCGACCCGAUGAAGAGAAUAUAAGUUCCUAUUUACAGCUCAUAGACAAAUGUCUAAUCCACGAGGCGUUUACAGAGAUCCAGAAGAAGAGGCUGCUGUCAUGGAAACAGCAGGUGCAGAAACUCUUUCGGUCUUUCCCUCGGAAAUCCCUCCUGGAGCUGUCGGGCUAUCGGCAGCAGAGGAGCCGAGGCUUUGGCCAGUCCAACUCGCUGCCGAGCGCCGGCUCCGCAGGGGCGGGGCUGGCCCGCAGGAACCCCCGGCAGUUCCAGAUCCCCUCCCGCAACCUCCCCACGGCCCGGCUGGGGCUGCUGGGCCCCACGGGGCUGCUGGGCACCCCCCAGCGCAGCCCUGCUGCCAGCCCUGCCAUCCUCAAGCAGGGCAGACAGAACCUGUGGUUUGCCAACCCUGGGGGCAGUAACAGCAUGCCCAGCCGCAGCCACAGCUCGGUGCAGAGGACGCGCUCGCUGCCGGUCCACACGUCCCCGCAGACCAUGCUGAUGUUUCAGCAGCCAGAGUUCCAGGUGCCGGUGACUGAACCUGACAUCAACAACAGGCUGGAGUCCCUGUGCCUGAGCAUGACGGAGCACGCACUCAGCGGUGAGCAUUCCCUCCUCCUGGGGCUCUUCCAGCACGUCCACGCCUCCUCUGCUGAGCCCCCCAGCCCCUGCCCAAUGCCUCCCAAAAGCUGGGACAGGCUGUGGCUGUGAGAGCAGCAGGGGCUGGACGCAGGGAUGCUCCCGGGGCUGCUCCUGUGGGAACCUUGGCUUCUCUCGGCGCGGUGGCCGGGACAGGGGGCGAAGCUGAACGCAGGGACCGCACCAGCACCAGUGGAGUCUGUGCUAAUUAGCCACUCUUCAGCUUGCUAAUGAUAAUUAGUGUUAGCUCGCUACUCUCGUUAGCUCUCGAUGAAGCCCCUGCCGCCAGCGCGCUCGGAUGGGUCGCGGCUUUGGAGCGUUGUGACCUCCUGCCACCGGAUCCCUCCUCUGGCCAGGCUGAAUCCCUGCCAGGCUGUGCCAGGGGCUGUGCCAGGGCUGUGCCAGGGGCUGUGCCGGGCACCGUGCCCUGGUGCUGGCAGGCCUCACACAGCCGGGGGUGCCAGCGGAUAACGGGCACGGGGAGGGAGGAGGAGCGGGACAAAACCAAGCAGGGAGGAUGGAAAGGCAGCAGCAGCAGCAGCAGCAGAGCAGUGGAGAGCCCGGUGCAGCACAGAGCCCCAGAAGCUCCCGGUGUCCAGUGGAGCCCCAGGCACAAGGGAUGGCCCCGGCGAUGGGACGAGCGCGGCCGCCCGGAGUCCCCAGUGAGCAGCUCGGGUCUGCUGCGGAAAUCCUGCCUGGACUGUGACCCGUGGCUGAGGACAGGAGCCCUCGGAGAGGACGAGUGCCACCAGGCUCCCUGCAGAUGCAGCAGCCCUUCCUGGGGAGAGGAACGGGAGAACAAGGACUGUGGGAAGCAGCAGGGCCCUGGCAGCAUCCCUGGCUGGGAACACAAGGACACUUCUGUCACCCGAAGCGUUUCUGCGGCGCGUGCCCAGCCGAGGCUUAGCUGUCUUGUUCCUCUGCAGGAUGGUGUCGACAGAACCUCCACGAUCUAGAAGGCGUCGCCACGGGGACGCUGGGCGGGACAACAACUGCUGCGGGUCCAGCGGCGAGGUCGGGGCUUGAGGGAGCCUCAGCGAUAGCUUGCAUCCUUUCUCCUCUCUCCUCUCCUCUCCUUUCUCCUCUCUCUAUCUCUCUCCCGUUUUAAUUUUGUGAAUGUGUAGAUUGUCCUUGUGAACAUAUCAUUAGACUUGGAA